rnacentral:rRNA from 1 species
UAGAGUUUGAUCAUGGCUCAGGACGAACGCUGGCGGCGUGCCUAAUACAUGCAAGUCGAACGAACUCUGGUAUUGAUUGGUGCUUGCAUCAUGAUUUACAUUUGAGUGAGUGGCGAACUGGUGAGUAACACGUGGGAAACCUGCCCAUAAGCGGGGGAUAACACCUGGAGACAGAUGCUAAUACCGCAUAACAACUUGGACCGCAUGGUCCGAGCUUGAAAGAUGGCUUCGGCUAUCACUUUUGGAUGGUCCCGCGGCGUAUUAGCUAGAUGGUGGGGUAACGGCUCACCAUGGCAAUGAUACGUAGCCGACCUGAGAGGGUAAUCGGCCACAUUGGGACUGAGACACGGCCCAAACUCCUACGGGAGGCAGCAGUAGGGAAUCUUCCACAAUGGACGAAAGUCUGAUGGAGCAACGCCGCGUGAGUGAAGAAGGGUUUCGGCUCGUAAAACUCUGUUGUUAAAGAAGAACAUAUCUGAGAGUAACUGUUCAGGUAUUGACGGUAUUUAACCAGAAAGCCACGGCUAACUACGUGCCAGCAGCCGCGGUAAUACGUAGGUGGCAAGCGUUGUCCGGAUUUAUUGGGCGUAAAGCGAGCGCAGGCGGUUUUUUAAGUCUGAUGUGAAAGCCUUCGGCUCAACCGAAGAAGUGCAUCGGAAACUGGGAAACUUGAGUGCAGAAGAGGACAGUGGAACUCCAUGUGUAGCGGUGAAAUGCGUAGAUAUAUGGAAGAACACCAGUGGCGAAGGCGGCUGUCUGGUCUGUAACUGACGCUGAGGCUCGAAAGUAUGGGUAG